rnacentral:rRNA from 1 species
UACAGAGGGUGCGAGCGUUAAUCGGAAUUACUGGGCGUAAAGCGUGCGUAGACGGUUAUGUAAGUCGGGUGUGAAAGCCCCGGGCUCAACCUGGGAAUGCCAUUCGAGACUGCAUAGCUAGGGUGCGGAAGAGGGAAGCGGAAUUUCAGGUGUAGCGGUGAAAUGCGUAGAGAUUUGGAGGAACACCAGUGGCGAAGGCGACUUUCUGGUCUGUAACUGACGCUGAGGCGCGAAAGCGUGGGGAGCAAACAGG